GCCGAGGUGGCGGAAUUGGUAGACGCGCCAGCCUUAGGAGCUGGUCCCGCGCAAGCGGGAUAGAGGUUCGAGCCCUCUCCUCGGCA
rnacentral:tRNA from 1 species